GUUUAAAACCGUUCACAUUUAAUUUGCAGGUAUGGAUUUGAGUAACAACAGUCUUUCAUUCUUAAAGCUGAUUGAGGACGAUGAUCCUAUUUUUUUGGAAAUACCUAAUAAAUUUGCUUCAUUAAUGUGGGGAGAACAACCACCUUACAAGGAAUCUAACUAUGAUUUCGUUACAUCUUGAAAGAUCGACAAACAGGUAAUCAUAUUUUCCUUAUUUACAUUGAUUAUACAAUUUUUGUCUAACUCUGUCUUAAUCCUCUUUUUCAUGAUUGAUUCUCUCGAUCUUCCGAUUUGUGUUUGUGUACAGCAAAAAAACAUCAACAUGUGAAAAAAAUUUGUUUGUUUUUCUUCAAGAUAUCGUUAGAUUGUGUGUUUAUGGUUAGAUUUUGUGUUUCUCAAAAAGAUCUGUGAGUAAAAACGAUGACGACUAUUCAUAUGAGAGGUAUGUUAUGGAUCGAUUUAUUUUCGCAUAUCCGGGUUGUCACUGUUAAUGUUAAAAAAUCAUGAGAUAUAUGCAUUGGAAAGUAGCUUUUGACUUAUGCGUCAAAACGAGGUCAGUUUGUAACAGGUUAGAUGAAUCUAUAAACCUCUCAUUGCUUAGAUGAAUUUAUAAACCUCUCAUUGUUUAUUUUGUUUGUUUUAAUCAAUCUCACUUAUUUGAUUUGGAUGAAUUUUUUUUUCAAUAUCAUGCUGAUGUGUGGAGAGGAAGCAAUU
rnacentral:lncRNA from 1 species